GCAUCGAUGAAGAACGCAGCGAAAUGCGAUAAGUAAUGUGAAUUGCAGAAUUCAGUGAAUCAUCGAAUCUUUGAACGCAUCUUGCGCUCCUUGGUAUUCCAUGGAGCAUGCCUGUUUGAGUGUCACGUAAACCCUCACCCUUGCGAUGUAAAAAUUGCACGUGGUGGAUUUGGACUGUGCCGUAAUUGGCUCGUCCUGAAAUGCAUUAGCUUGCGCUUUUUAGAGUGCUCGGCAUGGUGUGAUAAUUAUCUGCGCCGUCGCCUUAGGCCUCUUCUGUUGGUGCUGCUUCUAAUCGUCCCUCGAGGACACUUUACUUUAUGCUUUGGCCUCAAUCAGGUANGACUACCCGCUGAACUUAAGCAUAUCAAUANGCGGAGGA
rnacentral:rRNA from 1 species